AACCAGAACCACUGUCCUAAAGGCACCAGAUUCUGUCUGAUCUUGGAAGCUAAGCAGGGUCAUCUCUGGUUAGUGAAUGGAUGGGAGACCACCAAUGAAGACCAGGUGCUGUAGGCU
rnacentral:rRNA from 1 species